rnacentral:rRNA from 1 species
UCCGUAGGUGAACCUGCGGAAGGAUCAUUACAAGUGAGGCUACCGAACGUUGGAAACAGCGGUUAGGAGCUUACACCCACCCGUGUUUACAUACUAUUGUUGCUUUGGCGGGCCGUGGCCUCCACUGCGGGCUCUGCUCGUGUGUGCCCGCCAGAGAGCCAAACUCUGAAUGUUAGUGAUGUCUGAGUACUAUCUAAUAGUUAAAACUUUCAACAACGGAUCUCUUGGUUCUGGCAUCGAUGAAGAACGCAGCGAAAUGCGAUAAGUAAUGUGAAUUGCAGAAUUCAGUGAAUCAUCGAAUCUUUGAACGCACAUUGCGCCCUGUGGUAUUCCGCAGGGCAUGCCUGUUCGAGCGUCAUUUAACCACUCACGCCUAGCGUGGUAUUGGGGCACGCGGUCUCCGCGGCCCUCAAAAUUAGUGGCGGCGCCGGUGGGCUCUAAGCGUAGUACAUACUCCCGCUAUAGAGUUCCCCCCGGUGGCUCGCCAGAACCCCCAAUUUUUUACAGGUUGACCUCGGAUCAGGUAGGGAUACCCGCUGAACUUAAGCAUAUCAAUAAGCGGAGGAAAAGAAACCAACAGGGAUUACCUCAGUAACGGCGAGUGAAGCGGUAACAGCUCAAAUUUGAAAGCUGCCAACAGGCCGCGUUGUAAUUUGUAGAAGCUGCUUUGGGUGUCGGCCCGGUUUAAGUUCCUUGGAACAGGACGUCAUAGAGGGUGAGAAUCCCGUAUGUGAUCGGUGCCGUUGCCCGUGUAAAGCGCUUUCGACGAGUCGAGUUGUUUGGGAAUGCAGCUCAAAAUGGGUGGUAAAUUUCAUCUAAAGCUAAAUAUUGGCCAGAGACCGAUAGCGCACAAGUAGAGUGAUCGAAAGAUGAAAAGAAUC